UACAGAGGCCUCGAGCGUUAGGCGGAAUCACUGGGCUUAAAGCGUGUGUAGGCGGACUGCUAAGUACCUUGUGAAAUCCCACGGCUCACCCGUGGAACUGCUUGGUAUACUGGUUGUCUUGAGCCUUCUAGGGGCGAGUGGAACAAAUGGUGGAGCGGUGAAAUGCGUAGAUAUCAUUUGGAACGCCAAUGGUGAAAACAACUCGCUGGGGAAGUGCUGACGCUGAGACACGAAAGCCAGGGGAGCGAACGGG
rnacentral:rRNA from 1 species